rnacentral:lncRNA from 1 species
AACAAAUGACUAGCCCGUGCCAAUGCACGGGUUGACAACUAGUGUCUCUAUAAUGAUUGUGGUUUACCUAUUAUUAACAGAAAAUAACCGUGAAACACUUGUUCUAGGUUCGCGGUGAAACAAAAAUAAUUUAAGAAGUUUGUUGCUGCAAUAUACACGGCGUAUAAUUUGCGAUUCACAUCAAACCAAACACAAUAGCUUUCGAGUUGGAUCAUGUGAAAGCUCUGCUCUAUUCAUAUUCAUGGAUGAAUAAUGCAACAAAAGUUACACAUCGACGAUCGUCAACCUAGCCCUACCUAGCAGCUACCUUGGGUACGUGCAUAGCUGGUGAUCUGCAUCAGUUGCUUCAGUUCCAACCGAUGAUGAUCAAUGUAAGUACGAGGAGAAAAAGGCUAUCACAGAAAAGGUAAGGAUCUACUUGUGAUGAUGCUGACAGACCAACAACUAGGUUCACGCCGCUCACAAUUGUUUUCGCAAAUUAUGUCGCUAAAGGACUUCAAGGUCAAGCAUUGUAUAUUUCAAUUGUGAUCUGGUAGCUUUAAUGGAAAUUUUGUGAGCUCAGGCUCCAUGUAAC